GUGAGGAAUAUUGCGCAAUGGAGGCAACUCUGACGCAGCCAUGCCGCGUGCAGGAAGAAGGCGCUACGCGUUGUAAACUGCUUUUAACCGGGAAGAAACCCCAGGACGUGUCCUGGGUUGACGGUACCGGAGGAAUAAGCACUGGCUAACUUCGUGCCAGCAGCCGCGGUAAUACGAAGGGUGCAAGCGUUAUCCGGAUUCAUUGGGUUUAAAGGGUGCGUAGGCGGAGCGUUAAGUCAGUGGUGAAAUCCUGCAGCUUAACUGUAGACUUGCCAUUGAUACUGGAGCUCUUGAGUGCGCUUGAAGUGGGCGGAAUGUGCCGUGUAGCGGUGAAAUGCUUAGAUAUGGCACAGAACACCAAUUGCGAAGGCAGCUCACUAAGGCGAUACUGACGCUGAGGCACGAAAGCGUGGGGAUCGAACAGGAUUAGAUACCCGGGUAGUCC
rnacentral:rRNA from 1 species